AUCUUUUUAGUAUAUAAAAUAUAUUUGACUUCCAAUCAAAAGAUCUUUAAAUAAAGAAAAGAUA
rnacentral:tRNA from 1 species